rnacentral:rRNA from 1 species
ACCAGACUCCUACGGGAGGCAGCAGUGGGGAAUAUUGCACAAUGGGCGCAAGCCUGAUGCAGCCAUGCCGCGUGUAUGAAGAAGGCCUUCGGGUUGUAAAGUACUUUCAGCGGGGAGGAAGGUGCUGAGGUUAAUAACCUCAGCAAUUGACGUUACCCGCAGAAGAAGCACCGGCUAACUCCGUGCCAGCAGCCGCGGUAAUACGGAGGGUGCAAGCGUUAAUCGGAAUUACUGGGCGUAAAGCGCACGCAGGCGGCCUGUCAAGUCGGAUGUGAAAUCCCCGGGCUCAACCUGGGAACUGCAUUCGAAACUGGCAGGCUGGAGUCUUGUAGAGGGGGGUAGAAUUCCAGGUGUAGCGGUGAAAUGCGUAGAGAUCUGGAGGAAUACCGGUGGCGAAGGCGGCCCCCUGGGACGCAACUGACGCUCAUACACGAAAGCGUGGGGAGCAAACAGGAUUAGAUACCCGUGUACC